GAUGAACGCUAGCGGGAGGCCUAACACAUGCAAGCCGAGCGGUAUUGUUUCUUCGGAAAUGAGAGAGCGGCGUACGGGUGCGGAACACGUGUGCAACCUGCCUUUAUCUGGGGGAUAGCCUUUCGAACGGAAGAUUAAUACUCCAUAAUAUAUUGAACGGCAUCGUUUAAUAUUGAAAGCUCCGGCGGAUAGAGAUGGGCACGCGCAAGAUUAGCUAGUUGGUGAGGUAACGGCUCACCAAGGCGAUGAUCUUUAGGGGGCCUGAGAGGGUGAUCCCCCACACUGGUACUGAGACACGGACCAGACUCCUACGGGAGGCAGCAGUGAGGAAUAUUGGUCAAUGGGUGCAAGCCUGAACCAGCCAUCCCGCGUGAAGGACGACUGCCCUAUGGGUUGUAAACUUCUUUUGUAUAGGGAUAAACCUACCCUCGUGAGGGUAGCUGAAGGUACUAUACGAAUAAGCACCGGCUAACUCCGUGCCAGCCGCCGCGGUAAUAC
rnacentral:rRNA from 1 species